rnacentral:misc_RNA from 1 species
UCUCCGUUGGUGAACCAGCGGAGGGAUCAUUACAGAGUUGCAAAACUCCCAAACCAUUGUGAACGUUACCUAUCCCGUUGCUUCGGCGGGCGGCCCGGGCCCCGCACCCCGCGCCCCCCGGCCCCCCGUGGGCGCCCGCCGGAGGUAAACCAAACCCUUGAAUUGCCUGGCCUCUCUGUGUCUUCUGUACUGAAUAAGUCAAAACUUUCAACAACGGAUCUCUUGGUUCUG